AGUGAACGCUGGCGGUAGGCCUAACACAUGCAAGUCGAACGGCAGCACGGUAAGAGCUUGCUCUUACGGGUGGCGAGUGGCGGACGGGUGAGGAAUACAUCGGAAUCUACUUUUUCGUGGGGGAUAACGUAGGGAAACUUACGCUAAUACCGCAUACGACCUACGGGUGAAAGCAGGGGAUCUUCGGACCUUGCGCGAUUGAAUGAGCCGAUGUCGGAUUAGCUAGUUGGCGGGGUAAAGGCCCACCAAGGCGACGAUCCGUAGCUGGUCUGAGAGGAUGAUCAGCCACACUGGAACUGAGACACGGUCCAGACUCCUACGGGAGGCAGCAGUGGGGAAUAUUGGACAAUGGGCGCAAGCCUGAUCCAGCCAUACCGCGUGGGUGAAGAAGGCCUUCGGGUUGUAAAACCCUUUUGUUGGGAAAGAAAAGCAGCAGGUUAAUACCCCGCUGUUCUGACGGUACCCAAAGAAUAAGCACCGGCUAACUUCGUG
rnacentral:rRNA from 1 species